rnacentral:misc_RNA from 1 species
AGCAGCCGCGGUAAUUCCAGCUCCAAUAGCGUAUAUUAAAGUUGUUGCAGUUAAAAGCUCGUAGUUGAAUUUCGGGGUUAGCAGGUCGGUCGUGCCAUCGGUAUGAACUGGUCUCGCUGAUCCCUCCCUCUUGACGAACUGUGAUGCCAUUAAUUUGGUGUCGCAGGGAAUCAGGACUGUUACCUUGAAAAAUUAGAGUGUUUAAAGCAGGCUCACGCUUGAAUACAUUAGCAUGGAAUAAUGAAAUAGGACGUUUGAUCCCAUUUUGUUGGCUUCUAGGAUUGACGUAAUGAUUAAUAGGGAUAGUUGGGGGCAUUAGUAUUCAAUUGUCAGAGGUGAAAUUCUUGGAUUUAUUGAAGACUAACUACUGCGAAAGCAUUUGCCAAGGAUGUUUUCAUUAAUCAAGAACGAAAGUUAGGGAUCGAAGACGAUCAGAUACCGUCGUAGUCUUAACCAUAAACUAUGCCGACUAGGGAUCGGAUGAUGUUAAUUUUUUAAUGUACU